rnacentral:rRNA from 1 species
UAAAUAUUAGCCUGUGGUAUUAAGUUGAUUUUUUCUUUUAUUUUAUACAUGAAAUUUAAGGAGUGGAGGAAGGAUGAUCUUGUUUGACAGUUGAUUUUAAUAAGAUUCUGGAUUGAAGGUUAAAGUUUUGUUAUUUUAAAGAAAAUGAAAUAAUAGUAUUCCGUCUUCAGUAGAUAGUAUUGAAUAGCAUCGAUAGAUGGUUUAAGAAAUUGAGAGUAAAGAGAGAGUAACAAAGUGCCAGCACUUGCGGUCAUACUUUGUCUCUAAGUUAAUUAGUUUGUAAGGGAGAAAUUUUGUAUUGUAAGUUUGAAAUUUGGUCUUUAUGGUUAAAUAGUAUGAAGAGUUAAAUUGAUUUUUUGUAGUUUAAAAAAUAAAUCUCAUAAGGCUGUUUUAGAGACGGGGAUUUGAGACCCCCUUAUUUAAGCUGUAUUAGUUCUUACGGGUACUACGAGCAAACGUGCUUAAAACUCGAACAGGUUGGCGGUAUUUUAUAACCAUUAAGGGGAACUUGGCGGUUAAUCCGAUAAUCCUCGUUAUACUUUACCUUAAAUAUGCUUUGCAUACCGCCGUCAUUAGGUAUACCUAAAGGGGAAAGAUUGUAGCGAAGAGUCAUCAUUGUUGAAAGUGUGUGAAGAAGUUCAGGUAGACGUGUAGGUUUUUUAAGGGCUUAGCUGAGUUACAAAUGUGAAACAAUUAUGGAAUAUUAGAUUGAAAUAUUAAUGUGAAAGCGUACUUAUUAGUAAAUUUUAGAGAGAAAAAAGUUGAAUUGGGUAAGUAAAAUGUGUACAAAUCGCCCGGCGCCCUCGAAUAGAAAAGUUGAGGUAAGUCGUAACAUAGUAAUGCUAGUAAAAACUGGUGUUG